UACGUAGGGUGCAAGCGUUGUCCGGAAUUAUUGGGCGUAAAGAGCUUGUAGGCGGUUUGUCGCGUCUGCUGUGAAAUUUCGGGGCUCAACCCCGAGCUUGCAGUGGGUACGGGGCAGACUAGAGUGUGGUAGGGGGAGACUGGAAUUCCUGGUGUAGCGGUGAAAUGCGCAGAUAUCAGGAGGAACACCGAUGGCGAAGGCAGGUCUCUGGGCCACUACUGACGUGAGAAGCGAAAGCAUGGGGGAGCGAACAGG
rnacentral:rRNA from 1 species